rnacentral:rRNA from 1 species
GACGAACGCUGGCGGCGUGCUUAACACAUGCAAGUCGAACGGAAAGGCCCUGCUUGCAGGGUACUCGAGUGGCGAACGGGUGAGUAACACGUGGGUGAUCUGCCCUGCACUUUGGGAUAAGCCUGGGAAACUGGGUCUAAUAUCGGAUAGGAGCCAUUUUUAGUGUGAUGGUUGGAAAGUUUUUUAGGUGUGGGAGGAGCUCGCGGCCUAGCAGCUUGGUGGUGGGGUAGUGGCCUACCAAGGCGGCGACGGGUAGCCGGCCGGAGAGGGUGGACGGCCACAUUGGGACUGAGAUACGGCCCAGACUCCUACGGGAGGCAGCAGGGGGGAAGAUUGCACAAUGGGCGGAAGCCGGAUGCAGCAACGCCGCGGGCGGGAUGACGGCCUUCGGGUGGGAAACCGCUUGCGCCUGUGACGAAGCGUGAGUGACGGUAAUGGGUAAAGAAGCACCGGCUAACUACGUG